GAGGAAAUCAGAAAGUUGGAGAGAACAGGAACGGAGCCUGAUGUGGAAGUGCCCGAUGAAUCCGAAGUUUUAAGAAUGAAGUCAGAGAAGGUGUGUGGCCUGCUGGACGAAGGACAAGUAAUCAGCAGUGAAUCCAGUGAGGAGGAAGAGCCCCCAGCAGCUCUGAGCUCAGCACAAGGACGAGGGCUGGAGGAGAAGGGUGAGGAUGGCCAGCUUUGGGCUGCAGACCAUCAUGUGUCUGAAUUCAGAGCCCCCGCUUCCUGACGUGUUGUACUUUGAGUGCGCUCUACAGCCAAUGGUCCUGUCAACGCUGUGAACACAUUCUCUGUAUUUACCUCAUGUGCCAUUUUGGGAAAUGUGGGAGACAGGGUCCUAGUCACUAAAUAUGUGUGUUGAUAUAUAAAGGUUAGAGUAGAAACAAACUAGCAUUAUUUCUGUUGUUUGUUUGUUUUUCCUUCCACAUGAUCAUGCCUAUUGUGGUAUAAUAAAAAAAAAUAGGUAUUUGUCUUUGUCCCUAGUUCCUGACCUCCCCAAACCCUUGGAAUUUCCCCAGUGGUAAGAGUGUCCCUAUGACAAUUAGAGGGUUAGAACUCGACCUCUGUGGAGAAAAAAAGAGGUGGGAGAUUAAGUUCAAUCACCAAUGGCCCAUGAUUUAACCAAUCAUGCUUACACAAUGAAACCUUGGUAAAAACCUCUGAACAAUGGGGUUGGCAGCCCCUGACUUUGUAAAUACAUUGAUGUGCUGGGAGGGUUGCAUGCUGGAGAAGGUGUGGAAACCCUGGCACACCCCACCUCCAUACCUCCCCCUAUCCAUCUUUUCCA